AAAAACAAAAGGUGAUAAAAAUUCAAAAGUCAUGUAUUAGUUAAAUGUGGCAAAAUCUAAAAGUCAUGUACAUUGGUUAAAAGAUACAACUACAUAAGCAGAUGCAACUAUUUUUAAUAGUUAUAUACAUAAAGUGAUAAAAUUAGUAGCCAGAAAAUGCCAUAACUUAUAUAAACUCCAGUUUUUGUCUUCAUUAGUAAUAGAAGAAAAAAAAAAUAUAAAGAAAAGUGUAAAGUGUGUGCACUAAGUGGUGAUGCAUUGGCUUUUGUUCUUGGCAUCCCUCUCACUUGAUUUAUUUGUGGAGCAAUGAUUAUUCUACUAAUAGGGUACAUAUCUGGGCUAUAAUUCAUGAUUAUAUUCAUGUAAUUAUAUAGUUAAUUAGUGAAAUAAAUAUGGUGGAGAUCUUAAGGUUGCAUAAAUAUGAGUUAAAACUCAUGUAAUUGAAUUUAUAUGUUGGAUCUUAUGUUUUUCUUCAUUGGUAUCAAUGCCCUAACAUUUGUUUCUUAUUCUAAUUAAUAUGUAUAAUUUGUUUAUAGCAUAUUUUAUUACUGAUAAUUGAUGUUAUUUUUUAAAUAGUUUCUUCCUCUGUCCAUAAUUGUUUUGGAUUAGUUUUAAAUAUAUCUAUGUUCUUUAAAAGAUUAUGAAUAUGCAAACUUAAUUUUGAAGUUUUGAAUCUGUAAAAUUUUGUUUUACAAAAUUUUUUUUAAAUAAGAAAAGAUAUUUAAAAAAAAAUUGGUAUUUGUACUACCUUUUGCGUUUGGGUUCUAGAGGUAAAGGAAGGAGGUCUUUUAGGUCAUGCCUCUCAUUAUUCAAAUAAAUUACAAGUUACGCCAUUUAAAGUGUUGCUCUCGAUUUUCAGAGUUUUUACAAAAAUGUCACCGUUGCCUAUUUAUGAAAUUGCCACCAGUAAUGUGGCUGCAAAUGGCCCUUGAUUUGUUUAAAAUCAUAGCUUUGCCAUCAUUAUAUAUGUUUUGUGAAAAAUUAGAUUUUUUUUAAAAUUUUUUUAACAAAUAAAAUUGUAAUUUUGUUUUAGUUCAAUUGGGACAUUAAUUAAAGGG
rnacentral:misc_RNA from 1 species